AGGCAAUGAUGUAUCGAAUUUCUUCACCUGAAAUUACAAUGAAGUUCAUAGCUUUUUAACCCUGAGCCUG